rnacentral:lncRNA from 1 species
CUACAAUCAAGUUCUGCCUCUCCUAGGAGAAAUAGCAUGACUCUGCUGCCUGACUUCUGAGCAUCUCUGCCUGAACAUCUGAACAUCCUGGUUGCUACCAGAUCAAGUCAUUUUGUCAUGUCCAUUAGGCCUGGUUUGCACUGUUACUGUGGCCAGUGUGAAAGCAAAGGUCUCAGCUUCCCGCAACUCUGAUCUCAAUCCUUCUGAUUUCCUUUAAUUUUUUACUGUGAUGGAUGCUGGAGAGAGUAUAGCAAAUCCCUUAAGAGCCUGGACUGUGACACCUGCAGUGUGUUCCUUCAUCUCUGGCCUUCCAUGUACAAGGUAAGUGUCUGUGAGCAAGUUGCCUUUCUUCACCUCAGUAUGACUCUGUUUCUCACUUGUACAGUGGAAAAAGAAGGAAAUUUUGUUGACACACAUCUCUGAGAAGGUGUAACUCAUUUUACCAAGAUGUGCAUCAACAUGAUUAAUUUAAUAGAAGUUUUGUGUUUAAACUGGCAUUCAGGCAAGAUUGUACAUAAUAACUUCAAGGGGAGGUUGCAAAUAUGAAAAAGGAAAAUGCUCUGAAUGAAAUGAUAGCUAGUGUUCACAGCACAUGCAAGAUACAGAAACUAUAAUCCACAUUUAACAGUGAGAAAACUAAAGCAUAAAGAGGUUAAUAGGCCCAAGCUCAGUCAUAGGUCUAGGAUUUGAACCAAGGCAGUUUAGUUCCAGAGCCUGUGAUAUCAGAAAUUUGGUUGUAUUUCCUGAACAAUUCAUCUAGAACAGAAUUUCAAUAUGGUUUAUGUUAUUGGUUAUGGUAAAGCUGGGUCCAAUGGGAGUUAAUAAGGAGGUCAGUUUCUGCAUGUUCUAAAAAUGCUAACAAUGAAACUGUGGUAUACCCAGGAAGAAAUAAAUUCUGAAGCAGUAAAGGUGUGCAAGCAGAGAUUGGAACAUAAUCUUUGGGGACUGCAGUAAAAAGUGUUCCUGUACUAAAAAUGGCAGGUGAGUUUGGUAAAUCUUGGGUUUCUUCCGAAGAUUCUAUGAAUGCGGACCUCAGUAUUCUGGACUAGAUCUGGCAUUUUCUGCAGGAUUCCACAUACACAGCCUUCCACUGAAACAUUCAUAUGCAUCAGUUCUAAUCUUCAACAUAGAUCUGAAAAAGCCUGCUGUCAUUCCCGUUUCACGGAGGGAGACAUUGGUCUCAGAUACAUACACAAUGAGUAGAGUGGUGGAUAUUAUCUCAGGCUUCCUAAUUCCAAAGCUCAUGCUCUUUAAUAGCCACUUUUGUGUUAUAUUGAAUUUCUCAACAAUAGCCCCAAAAUGAGUCAUCUGCUCAGGAAGACUUGCCUGAUUCAUUCCUUACUGUGUUCUCUUUAAUUGUUGUAAUAUUAAUGUAGAUGAGGGUGGUGAUAGUAUUCAUAAUUAUAAUUUGAAUACCACCCUAAUUGGCUUUUAUUGCUUCUUGGGAAUGGGUCAGGGUUGUACAUGGAAUAUUUAAGUUGAAAUGUCGUUUCCAAUACUUAAUAGAAUCCAAUUAGGAUUUUAUUGAUUAAUUAGUGUCUGCAUGAAGCAUUCUAUUUUCCAAAGGCCAGUAAUGCGCCUGACUGUUCCCUAAAUGUUAACAUAUUCAGAUAAUUAUAACUGCAUCAUACUUGCUGCUUAGACUGCUUGAGUUAUUUGCCUUUACUGGAGUUUCAGAUUCAAGUAAAGCUAUCUUUUAAAGUAAAAAUGAUAUUUAAAUAACCUGAACUAAUCGUUAUGGAAAACCUCUCUUAAACAUUCACUAAUUUAUGGCUAUAAACGUGCUAGCAUCUUUCUACACAAAGGCUCAUUUGCAAAUCCUUUAAAGGUGACAAAGAUGGGGUGGGUAAAAGGGCACACUGUAUAGCCAAUGAGGGACCCUAAAAUAUUGCAGUGCUUUAGGGUUGGAUGUAUUAAGGAAUUUCAAAUUUCAAACAACUGUACAGUGGCAUGUAUGAGAAACAUAGGUUUAAAUAUCAAACCAAGUAUUAUCCAAUGAGUGGUGUUCAGUAAAAUUCCGUGUCAUGUAGGAAUGGUUUGUUAUUAUCACUUGCUUCUCUAAAAUCACACGAGCUGACACUGGAUGGUACUCAGUGCCUGAAGAAAGUCAUGUGAGUAACUGGAAGAGAUUAGGAAGAGGCAAAAAAGCAUGAAACAACUUUUGUUUGUUGGACCAGUGCCCAUCUGUACUGGGUCGAUGCUUGGGUCACAAAUGGACAGACCAGCAAAAAAGUAGUUAUAUAUUGUUAUGAGGCAAAUUACAAGAAUGAUAUAUCUGAGACACAUAUAAAUCCCAAAUUGUACUCUGAAGGAAAUUAAGUCACUGAUGUUUGAAAUAUUUUCUACUUGUAUUUAAAAUCAAUAUUGAACAUUUACUAUGGAAAAAUAUUUUGCCAAUUGCACACAUGUGUGGAAAGAUAAAUGUUCCUAAGAUGCAUGUGCCAGGCUGUACCAUAUACAUGACAAUGCAAUGUAAUAUACUAUUACCACAAAAUGUAGUAUGGUUAUCCUCAUGUUACAUAAAAAGAUGGUAAUAACUUAGACAAGGUUAAGUAACUUGCCUGAGAUUAUCCAGUUAUGUCCAUAUUACAAAGUCUGUCUUUAUUAGAACAAUCUGGGAUUAACAAUAAUACCAGUAAUAAUUACAAAAACAGCAAAAUUCUGGGGCCAUGCCUUUCCAGUAGAAACACAAUCUGUGGCAGUGAGAUAAGCCACCUAUAGUGAAUUAGAGUUCUCCAGAGAGACAGAACCAACAGGAUGUAUGUAUAUGUAAGCACGCGCACACACACACACACACACACACACACACACACACAGAUUUAUUAUCAGGAAUUGUGUCACACAAUUAUGGAGGCUAACAGGUCCCAAGAUUUGCAGUCAGCAAUCCAGAGACCCAGAGAACCUGUGGUGUAAACCUCCAGUCUGAAAACCAGCAGCUUCAAGACCCAAAAGCCAAUGUUAACAUUUGUGUAAGAAGGCAGGAAAGGACCCCUGUCCUGGCUCAAUAGCCAGACAGAAGUUCCUCUUGCUCGAAGGGUGGGUCAGCCUUUUUGUUCUAUUUAGGCCUUUAAUGAUUGGAUGAGGGCCACUCACAUUGGGGAGGACAAUUUGCUUUACUCAGUCUACAGAUUCAAAUGUGUAUCUCACCUAGAAAUAUCCUGACAGAAACACACAAAACAAUGUUUGCCCAAGUAUCUGGUCACCGCUUGUUCCAGUCAAGUUUCCACGUAAGAUUAAUCAUCACAUGCCAUUUUGGAAAUCUCCCUAGGUUAUUUAUAUUCAUAAGGGCCUGAACCCCCUGGAAUAUCCCUACCAUUGUAUUCAUUAGGUCUUAAAUUUGUCCAUUGAAAUUACUUGAAGGGCUUCAAUAGUGACUUAUGCCUUUGUUCCCAUCCCUAGGAAUUCUUCUUUAAUUAAUAUGAUUUUAAUGUGUAGUCAAGCCUGAGACUAAGGUUAUAGCCACUGUUCUGAAAUGAAGCUGGUGGCCUUCUGUUCCCAGCUACCAGGCAUUGUGGUCUUCCUGCCCCUCUCGGAUGGUGUGCCAUGGCCAGGGAUUGUGGUCGUUCUGGCCCUCUCAGAUGGUGUGUCACUGCUCACUCCAUACUGAGAAGUGGCCAGGGAUCAAAUUAUACCCACAGCUUUUAGACUCAUACAAGGACAGUCCUGACAUAUCUUUUGGCUAUCUCCAUCCCAUUGCAAGGAGAAAGAUCUUCCCCCAAGGGAUUUCAGACCUAUUUCCCUUUUGCACAGAGAGAAGGAAAAUGUUCAUCUUUGUCCUUUAAGCCAAUACUUUAUGAGUUGCCAAAGACACUGACACACUAGCAAAUUGCUGCUCCAGAGAAAUUCAGGAAUGACAGUCAUUGUUUCUAAAUGGUAUUUCAUAGGUUUUCCACAUCAGCACACUUGCUGAAUGGAGAAAUUGCAUGCAGUGGCCUCUGCUUGUAUUAUAUUUGCAGUGACUGUGUUUAAAGAAUAUGUGUUUGUACACAGGUAGGGAGAGUGGAUCAAAGGUGCCUGGGUCACACCUAUCCCACGUUCAGCAAGAAAAAUGAUCAGUAAUUUGUGCAUGUCAUGUGCUCAACAAUUGUGCAUUAAUAACAUCAGCUCCUACUUUUGAGCAUCUUCUAUGUGACAAUCACGGACAAAUGCUGUGAGUAACCUCUGAGUAUGAGUUGGGUCUCUAUUCUCAUAAGAACAUACAGCACACAAUGCACCAUACACAGGUUCAUGUAAAAUAAGUUGAGAAAGGAUAUGCUAGCAUGUGGGAGCUACAGGGAUAGGAAAACACCAGCGAAUGAUGGUUGGAAGAAAUUGGACUAAGUCCAUGUUUUUAAAAGUGCAGGUUAUGGGGGCAUCUGGGUGGUUCAUUUGGUUGAACAUCAGACUCUUGAUUUCAGCUCAGGUCAUGAUCUCGGGUGUGUGGGAUUGAACCCCGUGUGGGGGCCUGCACUGACAUCAUGGAGCCUGCUUGGGAUUCUCUCUCUCUGCCCCUCCUCUGCUCAUGUUCUCUCUCUACCUCAAAAUAAAUUAAAAAUAUUUUCACAAAAUAAAAAGAAAAUGAAAGUGCAGAUCAGGAUAUGGUAGGGAAAAAUGGUGACAGAACCUUCUAGGCAGAGUACGACUUGAGCAAAAAUCUGAGAUUGAAGAAUGAAGGCAAGAGGUGGGCAAUGGAAAGACUUGCCUCUGGCAGAGAAGUCUGGAGGAGUUGGCCAGCCAUGGUGUGUGUAUCUAUAUCUAUAUCUAUAUCUAUAUCUAUAUCUAUCUAUAUCUAUAUCUAUAUCUAUCUAUAUAUCUAUAUUUGUAUCUAUCUAUAGAUAUCUACACACAUAUGCAUACAUAUAUAUACAUAUACAUACUUUUUUUCCAUAAAAAAUAGCAGAAACCCAUGUUAGUCUGUACCUAUCUCUACCAUAGUUCAAUUAGCCAUUCUUAUAUUGGUCUGCUUAUUCAUUUUUUCCCCAACUAGAGUGUCAGUUUAUUUUUAGAAAAGGUUUCAUAUUAAUCUGUAUAUUCCCACUUCUAGUUUAGUAUCUAGCAUAGAGUAGGUGCUCAACAAACCAAUGCUAAGUGAAUGAAUGAAUAAAUGAAUGACCUGUUACAUGGAUACAGGAUGCAAGUAAUUUACUUUCCUUUUCAUAUACCUCUUGAGUGAAAACAAUAGGGGAAAAAAUGUCAGUUUUUAUAGCAAUACUGCAUUUGUUAUUGUGUGUGCCAGUUAUUAUUAUAAAUAAAUAGUGUAUGUCUAUACUAGCCACUCACUAGUUGUUGUUUUUUAAAUUUAUUUAAAAAGAUCAAAAAAAUUACCACUAGAUUUUGACUUGAAUUGUAGGCAAAACACUUGUUGGCUUGUAAAAGCUCUGUCUCCGCAGCAAUGAGGGCAAUGAAACAAUGUUUAGGACAAAAUUUAGUUUUUGAGGUCUGCCUGAAUUAUAUUUUUUCUGCUUUGAUUUAUUGGACUCUUCUUAGCGCUUCAUUAUAAACAUGUAUUUCUUUGGUGCUUGGUCAGUAGAGCAUGCAACUUUUAGUGUCAGGGUUGUGAUUUGAACCCCACAUUGGGCAUGGAGCCUACUAAUUAAAAAAAUGUAUUCCUCCACUUCAGCAUUGGGUAAACAAAGAUGAGUAAGGCUCUCUCCCUCUGGUGCCCAGUGGGAGUCAGGGAGGGUGUUGGUCAGUGUCAAUAAUAAACAGUAAACACACAAAAGAUUUAAACACAUAUUUUUUAAAGUUUAUUUAUCUACUCUGAGGGAGAGAGAGUAAGUGAGCAAGGGGCAUAAAGAGAGAGAGAAUCCCAAGCAGGCUCUGUGCUGUCUGCACAGAGCCUGAGACUGGACUUGAUCCCACGAAUCAUGAGAACAUGACCUGAGCCAAAACCAAGAGCCAGCCAGUUAACCAAUGAGCCACUCAGGCACCCCAAACAUAUUUUUGUUUUAAUUGAGGUAAAAUUUGCAUACAAUGAAAUGCACAGGCUGUAAGUAUACAGUUCAACAAGGUUUAGUAAUAAGUACAACCAUGUAACUAACACACAACAAUCAAGGUAUAAAAUAUUUCUAUCAACCAAGAAGUUGGAGCCAUAUUGUAGGCACAAGGUGGAAGUAUGUUACAUGUUUUAUGACUCUAUUUAAAUGGAAUAAUUUUUUCACUGAGGUUUCCAGUUAUUUCCUGCUAGUAUAAAAAUACUGUAUCUCACAAUCUUGAGAAAUUUACUUAUUAGUUGAGAAAUUUCUUUUGUUUUGUUUUUAGGUUCCUUAGGGAAUAUUGAUUUGAAGUAGUAGGAGCAGAUACCCUUGUCUUAUUUCUGUUUUUUUGAGAAAAUGUUCAAAAUUUCACCAUAAAUAUAUACUAGCUGUAAGGAUAUUGUAGAUAUGCCUUAUCCUAUCAAGAAAUUUCCCUACUAUUCCCUGUUUUCUAUUUUUAUCAUGGAUGGAUAGCGAUUUUUAUCCAAUGGUUUUCCUACAUCUGUUGAGAUAAUUAUUUCCUCCUUUACUCAGUCAAUGUGAUAAAUCAGUACAUUUUUGAAUGUUAAAUCCACCUGACCACCUGGGAUAAACACUAUGUGGUUAUAUAAUGUACUAUUCCUUUUUGUAUAUUGCUAAAUCUGUUUGAUAAUAUUUAGUAAUUUUUUUUUUUUUGCUAUUGUUGUUUACAUUCAGAAGAGUCUUAGUCUGUAAUUUUCUUUGUAAGGACUUUCUCAGGUUUUGGUAUCAAAAUUUCCUAGCUUGAUAUCCUUUUCAGAAAAGAGAGUGUCUAAAAUUUCCUUAGGUUCAGUAUUAUUUCACUCUUAAACAUUUAGUAGUAUUAGCCAGCAUAAUUAUUUUGUGUUUUCUUUCUGAUGAGGUUUUUAAUUAUGAAUUCUUUCUCUUUCUCUUUCUCUUUCUCUUUCUUUUCUUUUCUUUUCUUUUCUUUUUUCUUUUCUUUCUUUCUUUCACUUAGAUUUUUAUUUCUUAUGAGUCAGUUUUGUAAUUUCUGUUUCUCGAGUAAUUGGUCCAUUCUCUGAUUUGUCAAAUUUAAUUACAAACAGUUGUUCAAAACUGUUAUUUAUCUUACUUUUAAUGUCUGUAAGAUGUAUAGAGAUAAUGUUUAUUUUAUUUCUAAUUGUGAUAAUUUUUUUAUCUUUUUAAAAAAAUCUCAUUAGUCUUGCUUGAGAGUUUUCAUUUUAUUAAUAUUUUAAAAGAACCAUCUUUAUCCAUGACUUUUUCUAUUUCUGUUUUUAAGAUAAAAUGAAUUAUGUUCUUAUUUUUAUUAUCUUCUUUUUUUCAUCUUACUUUGGGUUUAACUUCCUUUUCAUUUUUAGCUUCUUAAGACAACUGAUUUUAAACCAUCCUUUUCUUUUCUAAAAUAAGUAUUUAAAAAUAUAAAAUUCCCUCAAUUGCUACUUUGACUGUAUUCUACAAGUUCUGUUAUGCUGUAUUUCUGUUAUAACAUGAGUUAAAGUUAGUUAAAAACAUUUCCUUAUAUGUCUUGCAAUUAACUUACUACACAAUUAUUAUUGUGAAGUGUCUUGUUUAAUUUCCAAAUAUUUGGGAACUUUUCUAAGUGUGCUAUUAUAACUGAAUUAUAUAAUAAUUAUGUUCUGGUCAGAAGUUGUAUUAUGAAAUAUUCCAAUCAUUUAAUAAUUUGUUGAGAUUUAUUUUAAUGUCCCAGUAUGUAAUCUAUCUUAGUUUUUUUAAAUGUAUUUUUAUUUUUGAGAGACAGAGAGAGAGAGCACAAGCAGGGGAGGGCAGAGAGAGGGAGACAGAGGAUCUGAAGCAGGCUCUGCGCUGAUAGCAGAGAGCUAGAUGUGGGGCUCGAACUCACAAAUAUGAGAUCAAGACCUGGGCCAAAGUUGGUUGUUUAACCAACUGAGCCACCCAGGCACCCCUGUAGUCUAUCUUAGUGAGGAUUCCAGGUGUAAUUGAAAACAAUUUACAUCUGUCAGAUGUCAUGUUCUAUAAAGUCUAAUAAUGUCAGUUUGAUUAACAGUGUUCUUCAAAUGUAUAUUGUUAUUAUUUUCCUAUUGUUUUUAUUGGUUACUGAGAGAUUAAAAUUACCUGGAGGUCAGUGCUCACCUUACACCAAUUAAAUCAGAAUCACUGGAAAUGCACCCUCGACCUCAAGUAAUUAUAAUGUGUCAGCAGGGUUGAAAACUACCAAUUUAGAAAAAAAUUAAAUUCUUAUUGAUGCUAUAUUUGUUGACAAAAAUGCCUUUUAUAAUUAUGUUGCUUAAAUGUGUACAAAAUAGAUAUUUAAACUUUGAUUAUAGCUUACUUAUAGUACAGAACUGUAAAAGCAAGAUAAAUAUAAGAAUUACAUAAAAGGCACAAAACCAAUAUUCAAAUUAACAAAAUUAAUUUAAUGUCUUAUGGAUUGUGUUUUGCUAAAACAACAUUGCCAGUGUUGGCUUUAAUAGUGGAAAGAUGUGGCUUCAGAUUUUGUUCUAUAUUUAAUUUCCUUUUACAUAUUGAAUUCAAUAAUACUUAUGCAGAGAUCUUUCCUAUAACUAUGUUGUACUAAAUUGUAUUGAUAACAGCAUUAUUAUCUGGUUAAAAAAAAUGAUCAUUUUCUGUCCUUAACCAAAAUUUUGCCAGCAAGCAAUUCUUGAAGGCUAAUAUUAAUGAAUGGUAAGUCCAAAUCUUAAUAUUUGAUAUUUUUUCUAUAUUAUGACAGAUUUUUACUUUUAUUCAUUUGUAGAAAAACAAAAGUAUUCUUAAUAAAAAGCAAAAACACCAUAUAUAUUGAAAGAACUGUUCCCCAUUUGUGGUGGAUUCAGCUCUCUGCUACCCAUUGAUCCUUCCCUUUGCCAUUAAAUGCCUGAUCAUUGUAGAACCUGCCUAAAAUUUCCAGAAUACUGUCCGAAAAAGAAAUUUUGAGGCUGUUGCUUGGAGGUGAGAUGACACUCAUAUCUGUGUUCAUUGACCCCUGCCACUGCAAAGUGUCAUUGUUGAGUCACAUUUAUAGUUUCUGAAAAACUGGGAGUCUCUUGCUCCAAAUGGUCCCUAGUCACACAACCAUUGUUUUGUCAGGCAAAGGACAAUGCUAACUAGCAAAGAUGGUGACCUUAUUGGACAUCAGACAAUAAAGAUGUCCAAGCUUACCUGCCAAUAGCAAAUCCUGUGCUACUGUGAUUAUGUUAGUGUGUGUACCAAGGAUUUGAUAAGGUCUUACAGUUACUACGUACAUCACUUAAUAACUCUGUUAAGUUGUUUGGUCUAGUUGAAGAUCAAAUUAUGAUUACACUGUUAUUAAAAUCUGUCUCAAUGCAAUUGUUUAUGGAAUAGGAACAAGACUCCUUCUUGCUUAGUUAUUUCUGUAUGUGCUACCAGUAAAACUUUGGCAAGAGUAAAACAGUGAUAAGAGCAAAGUAAUGGCUCAACUCUAUCAGUUCAACCAGAGAAGCAGAAAGACUAGUUUACAACAUAAUGGGAUUUAUUGCAGAGGAUUAGCUGACAUAAUUGUAAGAGCUGGUUGAAUCACCUCCAGAAGACUAUUGUCUUUGCUUCUGAAACUAGAGCUUGGAGUCCACCUGACAGACAUGCAGGAAGAAAAGAUGGAAUCAAAGUGGGAGCUGUCAAGGGUAAACUGAACCUACAUCAGGAGCUAAAAUCCCAAAAGGAAGGACCAAUAUCUUCAUCAGUUCUCAUUGUCUCUGACUUUGGAGCUAUGGGUAUUCUUCAGAAGCCUGGACCUUUCAUCAUAGAGCUAAGCAUACACAUGCAUCCCAGGAGUUGGGAAGUAAAUGUAUCUUAAAAACUGAUGUAGACCUUAGAAUCUUGGGUGUGAAUUAGAUCAUAAGGUGGUCGUAAAAUGAUCCUGAAUACAGAAUUAUAAUUUUUUUAUAUUACCAAUGAAAUAAAAACAAAGCAAUUAAAACUACUGUGGUUUCUGUCGGAAUUGUCAUAGCAAUCACAGAACCCAGUUUGAAGAGCAAUUGCUUCACAUUGGUGAUACUAAAUUAAUUUAGACAAUAAACCCCAUAAGCAAUUUCAGAGUUCUGAUCUGUGUUGGAAAAAAAUGAUAAGAUCUGGAGCUGCAACAUUAAAUCAGAGGCUCUGUUCACAAGGAGCACCCAUAAUCCAAGAUCAAUAAUCACGUGUUAACACAAAGUUCUAUGGUCAGAGAACAACAUAGGAUCCAGGGUUUUGGAGAAGAUUUAUAUUUAUUUUCUGGGGCUUUGCUGAAACAAACUGGACUGUCUAUCCAUCUCCCUUUACUCAAUUACCACUACAGCCUAACUAGAGAGCUAUUUGAAUGAAUAUCCACUCACGGUUGUUUGUGUGAUGAAUAUCCACUCUGAGAUUCUCCCUGUUUCAUCAGCUGUUGUCAAGGGCUAUUUGUGUACCCACUUGCUUAAAAUUGAAAAAUGGGAACUGGCGUUCUAACAGCUUCUGGUAGGUUUUACAUAGAGAAUAGUUAAAUGUAAAAUUCCCCUUUAGGUUUUGUACAGCAUGGUUUUGUCUCCAUUUGGCAUCGAUGAUGUCUGACUCUUGGACUAUUUCUCCAGGAGUCAUUAAGUUCCAGUGGACUUGCUGAGGUAGAUUUUAAUGUGGCAAACUAUUUACAUUGUCUUCAGUAGAAACUUGCCAAUUGGCCACAUUCAUGUUAGAAGGACUGUUUCUUUCUUUUUUUUAAAUUUAUUUUCUUGCAUUAUUAAAAUGAAUCCCAUCAGGUUGUGGUGGUAUAAUUCUUUUUGUAUGUUGCUUUAUAUGGUGUAGUAUUUUUUAAGAGGAUUUUGCAUCAAAACAUAUGAGUUAAAUUAGUCUUUAAUUUGCUUCUCUUGUGAUUUCUUUGAUUUUCAUGUGAGGAUAAUACUGACUUCAUAAAAUUAAUUGGAAAGUGUUUACUCUUCUAUUUUUUGAUAGAGAAUGUUGAUAACUGGUAUUAAUUCUUUUCUAAAAGAAAAGAAUUUACCAGUUGAAGCCUUCUGAUCCUGGUCUUUUCUUUGUGGGAGGUUUUUAAUUAAUAAUAUAGUCAUUAUAGGUCUAUUUUAAUAGUUUGUAUAUUUCAAGAUUUUUGUCUAUUUCAUCUAGGUUAUCUAAUUUGUUGGCAUCCAGUUUUUCAUAGUAUUCUCUUAUAAUUCUUUUUUAUCUCUGUAAAGUAAGUAGUAAUGCCCCCCCCUUUUUUUCUGAUUCUAGUAAUUUGAGUUUUAUCUCUAUUAAUGAGCCUAGCUACAGUUUUGUCAAUUUUGAUGAUCUUUUCAAAUAACUGGCUUUGGGUUUUGUUGGUGCUCUCUGUUAUGAUUAUAUCCUUUAAUUAAUUUUUGCUCUAAUCAUUAUUUCCUGUGUUAAACUUCUUCAGGUUUAGUUUUCUUUUUUCUCUGAGUUUCUAAAGGUUAUAGGAUAGAUUAUUGAUGUCAUAUUUUACCUCAUCUUUGUAAGUUUAUUUAUUUUGAGAGAGUGAGAGCAAGUGGGGAGGGGCAGAGAGAGAGAGAAAGAGAGAGAGAGAGACAGGGAGAGAGAGAAUCCCAAGCAAGCUCCGUAUCAUCAGCUCAGAGCCCAACAUUGGACUUGAUCGCACAAACCAUGAGAUCAUGGCCCGUGCUAAGACCAAGAGUCAGAAACCUAACUGACUGAGCCACUCAGGUGCCCCAGACUUCAUCUCAUUUCAAUACAGGUGCUUACAGCUAUAUAUUUUCUUGUGGGCACUGCUUCAGCUGAAUCUUCUAUCUUUGGAUAUAUUGUUUUUUACUUUUCCAUUUCUGUCAAAGUACUUUAUUUUCCAAAUUUACUGAGGUAUAAUUGAACAACAGAAUUGUAAGAUAUUUAAAGAAUAACUUGCAAUGAUCUGUUAUAUGUAUAUUGUGGAAAGAUUCCUCCUAUAAAAUUAACACAUCUAUCGCCUCACAUACUUGUCUUUGUGUGUGUGUGUGUGUGAAAGGGAGAGAAAGAGAGAGAGAACAUUUCAGUUCUACUCUCUUAACAAGUGUCAAUUAUACACUACAGUCUUAUUUACUAUAGUCACCACGUUCUAUAUUCGAUAUUCAAAUCUUAUUCAUUUUAGAGCUGACAUUUUGCAUCCUUUUGUAAAACUCUCCCUAUUUAUUACACUUCCUAGCACCUAACAGCCACUUUUCUACUCCUUGUUUCUAUGUGUUCGACUUUUCUUUAAGUUCCAAAUAUAAGUGAUUCCAUUUAGUAUUUGUCUUUCUGAGCAUAAUGCCCUCACAGCUCAUCCAUGUUGUAAUGUAUCUCACAUCUUCUUUAUCCAUUCAUCCAUUGAUGGGCACUUAGGUUAUUCUAUAUCUUGGGUACUGUAAAUAAUGCUGCAAUGAACAAGGGAGGGCAAAUAUCUCUGUGAUAUCCUGCUUUCAAUCCCUUUGGAUACAUACCUAGAAGUGGGGUUGCUGGAUCAUAUGGUAUUUCUAUUUUUAAUUUUUUUAAGAGCUUCCAUACUGUUUUCCAUAUUCCAUUUCCAUAUUUCCAAUUCACAUUCCCUUCAACAGUGCACAAGGGUUAUUUCUUCUCCAUGUCCUUGCCAGUGCUUAUUAUCAGUUGUCUUUUUUUUAAGUUUAUUUAUUUAUUUUGAGAGAGAGAGAGAACACACAUAAGGGGAGGAGGGGAACAGAAAGAGGGAGAGAGAGAAUCCCAAGUAGUCCCCAUGCUCAAUGCAGAGCCUGAUGGGAGGCUCGAUCUCAGAUCUCAUGACUGUGAGAUCACAACCUGAGCCAGUAUCAAUAUUCGGACACUAAUUGACUGAGCCACCCAGGCAUCCCUGUUGUCUUUUUGAAAUAGCAAUUCUAGGGUGCAAGGUAGUCUAACACUGUGGUUUUGAUUUGCAUUUCUCUGAUAUUAGUGAUCUUGGGUAUAUUUUCAUGUACUUUUUGGCCUUUGGGUGUCUUCUUUGGUAAAAUGGGUGUUCAGGUCCUCUGGCCAUUUUUAAUUAAGUUUUGUUGUUGUUGUUGUUGUUCUUCUUCUUUGUUUUGUUUGGUUGUUUUUGCUAUUCAGCUGUAUAAAUUUCUUGUGUAGCAGUAGAUUAAGUAUGCCCACGGAGAGAGGUGAACUCAUGGGCUUCUAUGUUGCCACUUGGACUGGAACCACUCUACCAAAGUUUCUUCCAAAUUUCCUUGUGGCUUAUUCUUUGACCCAUCAGUUGUUGGAACAUCUGUAGUGAAAUUUCCAUAUAUUUACUGAAUUUCCCAAGUUGGCUUCUGUUAUUGAUUUUUAGUUUCAUUUCAUGAAUUUAGAGAACAUGAUUUUGUAUGAUUUAAAACCUUUUAAAUUUAUUCAAACAUGUUUUAUGGCCUAUGUAGAGAAUGUUCCAGUGUACUUAAGAAGAAGGCAUAUUCUGCUGCUAUUGGGUGGACUGUUCUGUAGAUAUCUGUGAAGGUUGCUUGCUUUAAAGCAUUUUUCAAGUCUUCUAUUUUUUUGCUUUUAUUUUCUGUGUAGUUGUUGUAGCUGUUACUGAAGGUAAUGUAUUGAAGUUCCAAGUAUUACUAUGAAAUUUCUUUCUUUUCCCUUCAGUUCUGUCAGUUUUUACUUCUUUUUUUUUUUAUUUUUUUUUAAAUUUUUUUUUCAACGUUUAUUUAUUUUUGGGACAGAGAGAGACAGAGCAUGAACGGGGGAGGGGCAGAGAGAGAGGGAGACACAGAAUCGGAAACAGGCUCCAGGCUCUGAGCCAUCAGCCCAGAGCCUGACGCGGGGCUCGAACUCAUGGACCGCGAGAUCGUGACCUGGCUGAAGUCGGACGCUUAACCGACUGCGCCACCCAGGUGCCCCAUCAGUUUUUACUUCUUAUAUUUUAGGAUUCUUUUCUUUCAUGCAUAUAUGUUUACAAUCAACUUUUAUCAUAAAAAAGUCUUUAGCAACAUUAUUUAUCUUUUAAUCUCUAUUAGGUUUUCUAUUGUUACUGUAAAAAACGACCUCAGAUUUAAUUGCAUAAAUCUCAAAGUUAUUAUAUUUCAAUUCUGGAAAUCAGAAGUGCAUUAUGAGUCUUAUAGGAUAAAUUUAAGCCAUCAACUGAGCCAAAGUCAUUUUGGAGGUUUUAGGAGAGAAUACUUUUUUCUGACUUUUUUAAUUUCUAGAGGCCAUUUGCUUUCCUUGGCCUAUGAUCCCUUCCUCCAUUUUGGAUGCACAUCAUUCCAGUCAAUUACUUCUUACAUCAUAUUUCUUCUUUCUGACUUUGAUUCUCAUUCCUCAAGAUCCAUAACACAAUCACACCUGCAAAGUCUCUGUCGACACAUAUUGUAACAUAUUUAUGACUUCCGCGGAUUAAUAUGUGCACUUGGGUGAUGGCCAUCAUCCUACCUACCAUAAAAUGUAUCUUGUCUGAUAUUAAUAAAGUCAAUCUAUUUGUCACUAUUUACACGUAUCGCUUUUUCCAUGAUUUUAUUUUCAACCUAUUUGUAUUUUUGAAUUAACGUAUGUCUCUUGUAGACAGCCUAUAGUUGGAUAAUUUUUUAAGUUCUGUUGCCAUUUUCUGCCUUUUAGUAAUGUUUCAUUAAUAUACCUGAUCAAUCUAAUUAUUGAUAAUGUAAGAUUUAUAUCUACUUUUUCCUGUUUCUUUUCUGUAUAUCUUAUGUCUUUUUUCUCCUAAUUCUUCCAUUAUUGUCUUUUAUGAGUUCAGUAAAUAUUUUAUAGAGUAGUUACACUCUUGUCAUUUCUUUUAAUAGGUAUUUUUUAGUUAUUUUCUUGGUAACUUCCCUGGGGGUUACCAUUCAUGUUUUAAUAUAUAACUGUCUAGUUCAUACUAACAUCAACCUAAUUUUUAGUAUAUAAUAGCUCUGGCACUUGUUUAGCUUCAUUCACUCUUCUCUCUGUAGUGUUAUUAUAUGUAUCACAUCUUAUACAUCGUGCACCCAUCAACAAAGAUUUAUAAUCAUUGCUUUAUAAAGUUUUUUUAAAAAUAUGAUAAGACAGGGGAGCCUGUGUGGCUCAGUUGGUUAAGCUUCUGACUUCAGCCUAGGUCAUGAUCUCACGGUCUGUGAGUGCAAACCUCAUAUCAGGCUCUGUGCUGACAGCUCAGAGCCUGGAGCCUGCUCCAGAUUCUGUGUCUCCCUCUCUCUCUGCUCCUCCUCUGAUCAAUAAACAUAAAAAAAAAAGAUGACAAGACAAAAAGUUACAUACAAAAAUAUAUUUAUACUAUGUUUUAUAUUACCUAUAUAUUUUAAUUCUUUUCAUUCUUCAGGUGGAUUUGAGUUACAAUCUAGUGAUCUUUUGUUUCAACCUGAAGAACUCCCUUUAGUAUUCCUUGCAGGGCAAGUCUGCUGGCAAUAAAUUCUCCCUGUUCUUGUUUAUUUAGGGAUGUGUUAAUUUCUCCUUAAUUUCUGAAGGAUAGUUUUAUAAGCUAUAAAAUUACUGGUUGACAACCUUUCUUUUAGCACUUUGAAUAUGCCACCCAACUGUACCUUGGUCUCUAUUGUUUCUAAUGAAAAACUUCAUGAGGAUCCCUUCUAUAUGACGAGUCUUAUUUCUUGAUGCUGUCAAGAAUAUCCUUGUCUUUGAGUUUUACCACUUUAGUUAUGAUGUCUAGGUGUGAGUCUCUUUGAAUUGAUCCAACAUGCACUUAACUGAGAUUUGGGGCUGUAAAGAUUAAUAUUUCAAAAUAAAAUUUGGAAAAUUUUUGGUAUUAUUUAUUCAAAUAUCUUUGUGCCUCCCUCUUUAACUUUUCUUCUGUGACCCCCAUUAUACAUGUGUCCUUAUUUUAGAUGGUAUGCCAUUGAUCUCUGCAACUCUGCCAUUUUUCUUCAUUCUUUUCUUCUUUCUGUUUCUCAGACUAGAUAAUUGAUCUGUCUUCUAGUUCACUGAUUCUCCCUCCUCGCUCAAGUCUCAUGUCAAACUCUAGUGAAAUUUUCAUUUCAGUUAUUAUAAACUGACAGCAGUAUAUAAUAAAGAAUGAUUCUUUUUAUAAUUUUUAGAAAAUUAUAAAAUUUUAUAAAAAUUAUAAUUUUUAUAAUUUUAAAAAAUUUUAAAUAUUUAUAUUUGAGAGAGAGAAAGUGAGAGAGAGAAGUGCAAGUGGGGGCAGGGCAGAGAGAGGGAAACAGAAUCUGAAGCAGGCUCCAGGUUCCAAACUGUCAGCAAAGAGCCCAACAUGGGGCUCAAACUCACAAGCCAUGAGAUCAUGAACUGAGCCGAAGUCGGAUGCUUAAUGGACUGAGCUGCCCAGGCGCCCCUUUAUUUUAUAAUUUUGCUUUCUCUUUGUUGAUAUUCUUCAUUGUGAGAAAUAUAGUUUUAAUACUUUCUUUUAGUUCUUUAUAUGUGGAUUUUAGUCCCUUAGCAUAUUUAUAAUAGAUGAUUUAUUAUUUAUUUAUUUAUUUAUCUAUUUAUUUAUUUAUUUAUUUAUUUAUUUAUUUAUUUAUUUUCUACUAAAUCCGGUGUCUGGGCUUCUUCAGGGAUAGUUUCCAUUGACUAUUAAACUUUGCUGUCUAUGAGCCAACAUUUCCUGUUUCUUUGCAUGUCUUGUAUUUUUGUUGUUGAAAACUGAAUAUUUAAAAUCAUAUUAUUUGGCACUUCUGGAGAUCAGAUUACUUUCCCUGCCCAGGGCUUGUUUUUGCUGCAUUUUGUUGUUUUAUUGUUAUUUGUUUGUUCAAUGACUUCUCUGAAAAAAUUCUGUAUAAAGUCUGUGAUGUUUGUUGUGUGUGUUCACAGAAGUCUCUGCUCUAUUAGAUUUGUGGUCAGCUAAUAAUUAUAUAAAUAUUCUAAAAUGGAUUGAACCAAUGGUUUUCUAAGUAUUUUCCAAAGAACUCCAUGUGCAUAUUGAGGCAGGAAGUCAACACUCAGCCUGACAUUUGAGAACUCUGAUUUAACCUCCAUUUCAUGGUUGUACAGAGCCUCAAAGUUAGUGCAAGGUCCGAUCUUAGGGCUUUCUCAGUCUUCUUUUCUUAGUAUGUGCACAGCCCAGAGCAUGCAAAUAACCAUAUUGGAUGGUGCUGGCCCAGUGCGCGUGUGAAACAUUAUGAUAUGUGGUUUGAACAUCAAGACAUAACAGUGAGAUUAGUUUUAAUUUUUAUGAGGUGUCUCACCUGGAGUAAGUUAACCUCCCAUUAUUAGGGAAUUUCUGUAAUUCCAGAAAUAUGCCAGAGACUUUCAAAGACACUCUGGAUAUCUUCUUCUCCAGAUACGUUUUUUAAGUUUUUUAAAACAAUUAUUAUAUAGUUUUCACCAACUGUUGUCCACUGCCUCAGGCAGCCGCAAAGUCAAAAAUUUCUUCUCAUUGUUUUUUGACAAAUGCUCUGGGGAAGCUUUUGCAGCACUGGGUGUGCUCUGAGCCAUGUCAAGUAAAGACAGUCUUGCAAGUAGGAUCUUCCAAUGACUAUCAGACAGGUUAAAGUAAUGACAUUUCUCUGGGAAUGACAGUUCUCUGGUUUGAAGGAGGUUCAACACUAUCUGACUCUUCAUGUUCCUGCCAGGCUACUAGUUUACAGUGUAAUUUCAGCCUACAGUUUUCCAAGGUUACUAUGGAGCUGGAGUGGUAUGGAUGAAAAUGAGACUAAUGAAAGUACCACGAAGUUUACUGUUAUUAUUGAAUUCAGAUGUUUUCUCUAAUAAAUUGCUUUGUGGAAACUCUGGUUAAUUUCCAGAGUCUUGAAAAAAACUUGGUUCUCACAAUUUUUGCUAGUUUUCUAACUUCUUUUAUGGAAACAAAAAUUCAGAGGUCUUUAUUCCAUCAUUUGUGCUAAGUCUAGGAUUGCAUUUUGAAAAAUGAAAAAAGAGUUGAAGAGAAACAGUGAUGCUAGACUGAGGAAAAAAUCUGAGUUAAAGAAAAUUCUUUCUAAGAAAACUAUUGUUUAGGCCUUUGUUGUCUAUACAGUAGCCACAAGCCACAUAUAUCUGUUUAAAUUCAAAAAUCUAAAAUUAAAUGAAAUUUAAUAUUCAAUUUCUCAUUCACAGUAGCAAAAUUUGAAGAGUUCAAUAGUCACAUGGAGCUAGUGACUAACAUUUUAAACAGUACAAAUUUAUAAUAUUUCCAUAAUUGAUAAAUGUUCUACUGGAAAGUGCUGGUCUAGUGUGUCUAUAAAGAAUCGUGAUAUGAUUUGAACAUCAGAUUAUGAGAUUGAGAUUGGCUUUAAUAUUUGUUAGCUGUCUCAUCUGAUACAAGUGACUUAAUUUCUAAGUACGAGGGAUCUUGAAGCAGUAGGGAAUGCAAUUAUUGAAUCAAGAGAACACAUGUGAAAGCAUCUUAACUCAGAUUCCAGCAUGUGGUAGUAUUCAAUACAUGUUGUUAUUCCUCUCCUAUGCCCAUAUAUUUUCACUUUUACUUUCUCUUGAAAUACUUGCCAAAUGAACUGUCUUCUUUCCUGAUAACAUGGAAUAUUAGUCUCUCUUUCUUCAUGUGAGCAGGUACUUUUAGGUAGUGGAAGAAAAUAUCAUGGAGUCAACAACCUUCAGGGACAGAGAGGAGGUUACCUUCAUUAGAGGUCUAUUUAUUUAUAUGUGGGGGGAAGACUGGAUCUCAAAGUGGAAGCCCUCUGUUAUUUUUAUUCAUUAUGGUUCUAGAAAGAACUAUAAAAUAGGACAAACCAAGCCCUUUGAGGAGCCAGAUCCACCUUUGGUUUGGACCACUCUCCAUUCUGUGGCACUACCCUCUCUUUAUAAGUAAACCUCACCACUCUCAGCUAGUCUCAGCAUAUGGUCUGUAAACCUGUUUCCACUUACAGAGACAUUUUUCUGUAAGUAAAUAAUAUUUUCUCUUUUAUAGUUAAGCAUGAAGCUUUUAUUGAAAAUUUCAAUUUAAAAAAAAUUUUUCUAAAUUUCUGUUAGGUAACAAAAAGUCAAAUGUCAGUUUUUGAUGUACAGUUUAAUGAUUCAACACUUCCAUACAUCACCCAGUGCUCAUCACAAGUGCAUCCUUAAUCCCCAUCACCUAUUUCACCCAUCCCCCCACUUACCUCCUCUCUGGUAACCAGUAGUUUGUUCUCUAUAGUUAGGCAUCUGAUUCUUAGUUUGCCUCUCUCUUUUUUCUUCCUCCUAUGAUCAUUUGAUUCAUUUCUUAAAUUUCACAUGUGAAUGAAAUCAUAUGGUAUUUGUCUUUCUUAGUCUGACUUACUUCACUUAGCAUAAUAUUCUCUAAUUCCAUCCAUGUUGUUGCAAAUGGCACAAUUUUGUUAAAUUAAAAAAAAAUGUUUAUUUAUUUUGAGGGAGGUGGGUGGAGAGAGGGGGAGAGAGAGCGGGGGACAGAGAAUCUCAAGCAGACUCCUUGCUGUCAGCACAGAGCCAGAUACAAGGCUUGCACUCACAAACUGUGAGACCACGACAUGAGCCAAAAUCAAGAGUUGGAUCCUUAACUGACUGAGCCACCCAGACACCCCUAAAUUUCAUUAAAUUUAAGAAAAUAUCACUCUUGGCUUUUUAUAACUCUCAUUUAUUAAGAAACAAGGAAUGUAUUUACUUCUUUUCUAAUAAAAGUAUACAUUUUCACUGCAACAUUUUUUUUUUCUUAAAAUCCUUAAACUAGAAGACAUACAGUGAGACACUAAAAGCCACGGAUUCUUUACUGGUGCAUCUUAAUGGUCACUUCAUGUCUGAAGGAAAAUGAAUAUUCCUUAUGGGAUAACUCCCAGGAUUUAUGAAGAAAGGACAAGGCUGUCAACAGUGAUAUAACUUUCCUAUUAGGCUAGAAUUGCACAGUGAAAGAUGGACCUUGGCUUUGCUAGGAAUUAGCUCUCAGGGGAGGUGGUAAUAACAUGGAACCCUCCCCCAACUAUCUUCUGAAAAAUAAAAGAAGCUGUGAUUAUGGUAGCCUCCUGUAAAGCCCAAAGCUAUUAAGUCAAAUUUCUUUGAAAAAGUUUUGGGUUAGGAGAUUCCAAAGAGUAAUAAAUGCUAUACACUUUUCUUGAAGAAAAAAAAAAGUGUAUAUAAACUUUUUUUAGGGAAACAAAACUACUAUUUUCAUAAACUUACUACAUUGUUAUUUUAUUACUUAAUAAACUAUGACUUAAACAACUGUCCAGUAUUGCUUCAAGAUUUUCAACAUUUCAAAUGUUUUUCUCGACCAUUAUCUCUGUUCUUCAUAACACUUUGAAAGGGAUUAAAUUUUCUAAUAGCUCCGACUAUUUAACAAAUAUAAAGACCAUAGAGCAAUAGCCAACUACUUGAGCCUGAGGGGAGAAAAGUCCAGCUUUCCUGCCUUAUAGUUAAGGAAAGGUGACUUAGCAUCAUAAUUAAGAUUUUAAAAAGGUAGCAUCAUGAUUGGUGCUCAUCUAAAGGAUCCUGUACGUGUGUUGCAUGGAGUUUCAUGAUUUCAAAGCAAAAGAAGGAGUGAUGGGGGAAAGAACAAGAGGCAAACAGAUAAAAAAACAAACAACAUAAUUCAGGAGAUAUGAGAUGGGGUCCAUUGGGUCUGUCACAAGAGGAUGGUUGCACUUUGAAUCUGUGCUGGUGCACAUAAAGCUCACCAUCUCAUUGUCUUUGCAGAAUCCAGGGUGAUAAGAAAAAAAUAAUGAUAAAAGAUAAUAGAGGAAAGAAGGGUCAGAGAGGGAUUUCAUUGAGUCUACUUCAGUGAGCAUUGAGGCAGCCAUUAGGGAUUCCCCAUUUAAUUGAUGGGACUUUGGAGUCAAAGCUUAUUGGUCAAUAUUCUCUCCUUUGGGGUGCCUGGGUUACUUAGUUAAGCAACCGACUCUUAAUUUCGGUUCAGAUCAUGAUCUCAAGGUUUGUGAGAUCAAGCCUUGCACUGGGCCCUGUGCCAUUAGUGCAGAGCCUGCUUAGGAUUCUCUCUUUCCCUCUCUCUCUCUCUGCCCUCCCCUUGCUUGUUCUCUCUCACUUUCAAAAUAAACAAAUAAAUUAAGAAAGCAUAUUUUCUACUCUGAUCUCUAGAAAUAGGCAAAAAUACAACCCUGUAUGAUUAUCCAUUUACUUAGUUACUUAAAAAAAGGCAUUUGAUAAUAACUCUGUUUUGAAACUUUUAACUUCUCUUUUCACCCAGGUUGUUUGCAGCAUUUAUGGACCUUUGGGAUUCCUGACUUACUGAUGGUGGAUUUACGGUAUAAUCCAAUGGUUACCCCAGUACAGGAUGCAGAAAAAAACGCACCCUA